CAUAAUGAAGUCAUUUAAAUAUUUCCCCCUUGGACUGUGCCAGCCUGUCAGUCCAAGGGGGAAAUAUUUAAAUGGCUUUUUUCAUG